GACAAACAAUUAAAUGAAGUAAAAAACAACAAAAGAAGUAAUAAAUGAAACCCUAAUCAUUAAUGGAAACCCAGCCACAUGAAUCGACACUCCUCAUUUCUAGUAAUCUGAAACAACGAUUUCUGAAAAAUCUUUUUUUUUUCCAUUUGGGUAGCUUUGUAUGUCUUACCAGAAACUUCUUCCAAUUAGGCUAACGGUCAACCAGUCACUGGGAGCCCGAGCAUUCGUUCGUCAAUCUUCACAGAUUGUUCAGCAUAACUAGGUACUGCGUUACUUAGAUAAAAUUCUUCAUGUCUUUUGACACCUUCUGUAGCGAAAAUAUGCGUCGAUUUGUUCUCUUGUCUCAAUGCAUGUUUAAAGAUACAUUUUUCAAAUCUUUUGCUCAUAGAUCUGAUGUCAAAUAUGCAAGGCCUGAUUUUUUAUCUGUCUUCUCUAUCUCCUUUCAUCUUCCUGAUUACUGACAAAGAAUCACCUUCAAUCUUCACCAUAGGAAAAUUCACUAACAAACCCAGUUCCACAGCCUGCAAACACGCAACAACUUCGGCUGCAAAGGAAGUUGCCAAGUUGGUAUGUUUGCAUGUAAGGAAACUUUUAAAUGUAGGACUUUACCGUCGCCAUUUCUGAUAAUAAUGCCUGAACUUGAUUUGCUCUCUUUUUGGUUAUAAGCUACAUCAAAAUUAAUUUUUACAGUAUGUGCUUACGGAGCCUUCCACCAUGUUUCCUCAACAGUGGUAUUGCUUUUCCUCAUAUUUAUUCCAUCAAGUUCUUGAAUGUAAGAACUAAUGAAAUUAACUGUUUCUGAUGCUAGCCUCUAUUUUCCUUCAUGCAGAAAUUGGUUCCUGUCAGUCCAUAUUGCCCAAAGCGUACAUCCAAAAACUCUGUCCAUCUGGCUAGAAUGAUUGUCAAAGAAUUGGCUCACCCAAUCCUUAAUGUUUGAAUCAGGUGACAUCGUUAGCCCUUUAAAAUUCAUUAACCAUCAUCUCAGUUGAUUUUUGACAAUCUUUGAAAACAUGCUCCACUGUUUUAGCACCACCUACACAUCGGGGACAUCCAAGAUUGCCAAUUAAUCUUUUGUAAAGCAAAUUAGCAAAAGUAGACAGAAAAUUUUUUAUUAUUCGCCAAAUUGUAAUUUUAAUUUUGUUGGGAAAAUCCAACAACCAAAUUUUCUUGUAAUGUGAAAGGUUAUUAAGAGAUUCCUCUGUUCUGCUUAUAAAAGCAAUCUAUUGGCACUUUUCAUCGAAUACUAGCCAGAGGCUUCCCCUUUCCAGACAAGAAAGUCAUCUUUUAUAGUCUUCGCCAAAGGAAUUCCCAAAAUUUUGUUCGCAUCAUUUGUGGUAAAGGUGCUUUGCGCUAGAUUUACAUUCCAGUUUCUAGUGUCUUGAUUAAUC
rnacentral:lncRNA from 1 species